rnacentral:lncRNA from 1 species
UCUUAACCUUACUUUUACAAGUGAUUAAGAUUAUUUUAUUUACAUGUAAAUUGAAACAAUAAAUAUUGUGCUUUGUCAUAAUUUAAAACUCAUUAUGUUGAAGUCUUUUCCAGUUGAUAAAAUUGCAAUUCAAAAACUUUUAGGUAGAUUUGUACUGUAUGGAUGGCACAGGAAGAGAACAGAGAACAAGAGUACAAGAACAUGAAACAUCUUAUUAUGAAUGUAUAUGUAUGUGAUCCUCAAAAAAUUAUUUUUCAAAACAAGAUAGAGAAUGAGCUUUAAAAUCCCAAGGAUCCUGCAAAAUGUCUAUUUGGUGUACUAGUCGAAUAAUAGUAUCUAAAAAUAAUGAAACUGUUUUAAAACACAUUAUGGGCAUGAGGAUGAUAUAGAGCACUUACAUAAAUACCAAAAUCAGAUAAAUAUCUCUUCAAAGUUUAUUUUGAGACUUUCUUCAAAAAUUAAACUUCAGACUGUCCAGGAUAGCAUAAUAGCAUAGGAGGCAAAUUAAAAAGAAUUAAUUUACUUACAAGAAGAGAUAUCACAAACAUUAACCUCUCUUAUGGCAUUGAUUUGAAAGAUGGGUAUAUGUACAAUGAUGAUGCAACCAGUGUUUAUUUUUGGGUUGAAUGCUUACAGAUUAUUUAUUUUUUCCAAUAUUAUUUUACAAACAACAGGGCAUACUAAUGGAUAUUCAUUCUGAAUUUAACAUUUA